rnacentral:rRNA from 1 species
GGGCCCGCACAAGCGGUGGAGUAUGUGGUUUAAUUCGAUGCAACGCGAAGAACCUUACCAGGGUUUGACAUCCUGCGAAUCUCUUGGAAACGAGAGAGUGCCUUCGGGAACGCAGUGACAGGUGGUGCAUGGCUGUCGUCAGCUCGUGUCGUGAGAUGUUGGGUUAAGUCCCGCAACGAGCGCAACCCACGUCUUUAGUUGCCAGCAUUUAGUUGGGCACUCUAGAGAGACUGCCGGUGAUAAACCGGAGGAAGGUGUGGAUGACGUCAAGUCAUCAUGGCCCUUAUGGGCUGGGCUACACACGUGCUACAAUGGCAGUGACAGAGGGACGCUACCAGGUGACUGGAUGCAAAUCUCAAAAAGCUGUCUCAGUUCGGAUUGUUGUCUGCAACUCGACAACAUG